rnacentral:rRNA from 1 species
UACGUAGGGGGCAAGCGUUGUCCGGAAUCAUUGGGCGUAAAGCGCGUGUAGGCGGCUCGAUAAGUCCGCUCUGAAAGUCCAGGGCUCAACCCUGGGAUGCGGGUGGAUACUGUCGGGCUCGAGUCCGGAAGAGGCGAGUGGAAUUCCCGGUGUAGCGGGUGAAAUGCGCAGAUAUCGGGAGGAACACCAAUGGCGAAGGCAGCUCGCUGGGACGUGACUGACGCUGAGACGCGAAAGCGUGGGGAGCAAACAGG